CACAGGUUGUGAACUCGAAGAGUAGGGCGGGACACGUGGUAUCCUGUCUGAAUAUGGGGGGACCAUCCUCCAAGGCUAAAUACUCCUGACUGACCGAUAGUGAACCAGUACCGUGAGGGAAAGGCGAAAAGAACCCCGGCGAGGGGAGUGAAAAAGAACCUGAAACCGUGUACGUACAAGCAGUGGGAGCACCUUCGUGGUGUGACUGCGUACCUUUUGUAUAAUGGGUCAGCGACUUAUAUUCUGUAGCAAGGUUAACCGUAUAGGGGAGCCGAAGGGAAACCGAGUCUUAACUGGGCGUUAAGUUGCAGGGUAUAGACCCGAAACCCGGUGAUCUAGCCAUGGGCAGGUUGAAGGUUGGGUAACACUAACUGGAGGACCGAACCGACUAAUGUUGAAAAAUUAGCGGAUGACUUGUGGCUGGGGGUGAAAGGCCAAUCAAACCGGGAGAUAGCUGGUUCUCCCCGAAAGCUAUUUAGGUAGCGCCUCGUGAAUUCAUCUUCGGGGGUAGAGCACUGUUUCGGCUAGGGGGCCAUCCCGGCUUACCAACCCGAUGCAAACUACGAAUACCGAAGAAUGUUAUCACGGGAGACACACGGCGGGUGCUAACGUCCGUCGUGAAGAGGGAAACAACCCAGACCGCCAGCUAAGGUCCCAAAGUCAUGGUUAAGUGGGAAACGAUGUGGGAAGGCACAGACAGCCAGGAUGUUGGCUUAGAAGCAGCCAUCAUUUAAAGAAAGCGUAAUAGCUCACUGGUCGAGUCGGCCUGCGCGGAAGAUGUAACGGGGCUAAACCAUGCACCGAAGCUGCGGCAGCGACACU
rnacentral:rRNA from 1 species